GCGUCCCUUGGAGGAGGGGAGGCUCGCAGAGCUCUCAGAGAAAGGAAGUCAAUGUUUGUCGCUGAGUAGUGAGUACUACUGGAGUAGUGUGCUCUGCAGCGACGAGAGGAAGCCAAUUUAUAGAGGUUCUCGGGCCUCGAUCGGUGGUCAUUCCGUGCGCGAGUCUGACUUUUUUUUUCCCACUCGCGGCCUUAACUCUUGCGGCCGUUGCAGUUUCAAGUACGUCCAGUACAUGUCAUUGUGGAUGGUCAAAUCCACCUCCGUCUGCCAUGGCGCCCAUGGUUCUUCUCCUUGUGUGAGAGGGGGAGCCCACCUCUGGUUUCCAUGGUUUUUGUUUUUUUGUAUUUUUUUUCGAGCAUGCAUAUCUGAGAAAUAUAUGAAAUCUUCUAUAGUUAAUGUUGAGGCUUGGUUGCAUUUAGAGAGAGUUUCGUCGUCAUUAAAUGCUUGUAUAUAUUAUGGUUUCUUGUGGCCAUAAUAAGUCAUAUAAGCCAAGUAGUAGUCAUAGUGUGGGAAUCCAAUGGAGAUUUGUUACUCGUGGCUAUGGGCGCAUUUACAGGUUUCGUCCUCAUCACAACCUUAUAUAUUAUUAUUUCUAGUGGCCAUAAUAAAUCACAUAAGCGAGUUGAAGGGAUUCAUCUCGUGGUAAUCCCUACGGGGGGUUGUUGCUUGGUGAUAUGGGUGCAUUUGGGGAGUCUCCAUCCUCUCCUCUCUCACAGCCAUAUUAUGACUACUUGUGGUCAUUAAGGAGUGUUGUUCAUCCUCUUGCAUCUAUAUUACGGUUGUUGAAGUAUAAGUGGAUUGUUCUCCUUUUCCAGUCAGCUUGAGCUUUUGGGUGAAAUGAUUCGAUGCAUGAAACUCUUCGCGGUAUCAGAACCAAGAGGUUUUGAGUUCGAGACAUGGCUGGUGCAAUUAAAGUUGUAGCCCACUUCCGGUCCACGUUUAGACCUAUGAGAGUCAAACGUGAGGAGUGUUGAAGUAUAAGUGGACUGCACUCCUUUCACCAUCGGCUUGAGCUUUUAGGUGAACUGGUUCGGUGCAUGAAACUCUUCAUGGUAUCAUCAGAGCCAAGAGGUCUCGAGUUCGAGACCCGGCUGGCACAAUUAGCA
rnacentral:lncRNA from 1 species